CAAGCCUUGUUUGUAAGGUCUCCUGUCUUUUUCUUUUGGGAUUCCCUGUCCUCUGUUUGUAAGUUCUCUUGCCUCUUUCUUCUGUCUCUCCCUCCCUUCUGUGCAACAGGAGCCAGUUUCCAAUUAUACCUGGGAAGCUUGCAGAGGAGGUUUCAAACCCAAAGCAAGGAAACUUAACUGGGUUCAGUCGUGUGUACCAUCCAGAAGAUCUCAACAGCGCAUCACAAUCUCACAGCUGUGUCCUCAUGGCAGCUCUUUUGGUGGGAAAGGCAAACAGAACACACAUUCAAGGGAUAAGGGAGAUGUGCGAGGAGCCUCCAAUUGCCCAGAUGCAGUUCUUGACUCAACUGGCAGUUUCAUCCUCUCUGUGAUCUCCUCCAACAGAGAGAGAGAGCACAAGCAGGAGAGGGAGAGGGAGAAGCAGGUUCUCCGCUGAGGAAGGACCCUCAUGCUGGACUUGAUUCCAGGACCCUGGGAUCAUGACCCAAGCCAAAAGCAGAGGCUUAACCAUCUGAGCCACCCAGGUGCCCCAGUCAUAAAGAGAGAGGACAAGCAGGAGGAGUGGCAGGCAGAAGAAGCGGGCUCCCUGCUGAGCAGAGAGCCCAGUGUGGAGCUCGGUCCUGGGAAGCUGAGAUUAUGACCUGAGCUGAAGGCAGACGCUUAACUGACGGAGCCACCCAAGCACUCAAGACUUAAGAGUCUUAUAAUAUAUUUUUAAAAUCUUGUAGUCUGUCUG